UGGGGAAUAUUGGACAAUGGGCGAAAGCCUGAUCCAGCCAUGCCGCGUGUGUGAAGAAGGUCUUCGGAUUGUAAAGCACUUUAAGUUGGGAGGAAGGGCAUUAACCUAAUACGUUAGUGUUUUGACGUUACCGACAGAAUAAGCACCGGCUAACUCUGUGCCAGCAGCCGCGGUAAUACAGAGGGUGCAAGCGUUAAUCGGAAUUACUGGGCGUAAAGCGCGCGUAGGUGGUUUGUUAAGUUGGAUGGGAAAUCCCCGGGCUCAACCUGGGAACUGCAUUCAAAACUGACUGACUAGAGUAUGGUAGAGGGUGGUGGAAUUUCCUGUGUAGCGGUGAAAUGCGUAGAUAUAGGAAGGAACACCAGUGGCGAAGGCGACCACCUGGACUAAUACUGACACUGAGGUGCGAAAGCGUGGGGAGCAAACA
rnacentral:rRNA from 1 species